rnacentral:rRNA from 1 species
GAGUUAUUGUUGAAAGCUCACUUGCGAAAUGAAAGUGAAAGGCUUGCCUCGUUGCAGGCUGUUGGAUGAUCCCUGGUAUCAACCCUUGACUGGGAAGGCCUGGGCGCAAUCCAUGGGCAUCGUGAUUGCUUUAUUGCCAAUCUGGUGCACCACGAGCACACAAGUUGGUACCCGAAAGAUGGUGAACUAUGCCUGGCAAGGGCGAAGCCAGGGGAAACUCUGGUGGAGGCCCGUUUGGAUUCUGACGUGCAAAUCGAUCUUCAAAGCUGGGUAUAGGGGCGAAAGACUAAUCGAACUAUCUAGUAGCUGGUUCCUCCUGAAGUUUCCCUCAGGAUAGCUGGUGAUCGUACACGGUAUGACAUGUUUCAUCCGGUAAAGCGAAUGAUUAGAGGCCUUGGGGUCGAAAUGACCUCAACCUAUUCUCAAACUUUAAAUGGGUGAGAUGCCGGGCCUACUUGAAUGAGGCCAUAACGGCACGUCGAAAUGAAUGAUUACCUAGUGGGCCAUUUUUGGUAAACAGAACUGGCGCUGUGGGAUGAACCAAACGUUGAGUUAUGGCGCCUGAAUGGAC